rnacentral:tRNA from 2 species
GGGCCCGUAGCUCAGUAAGGUUAGAGCGGCGGGCUCUUAACCCGUAGGUCCCGGGUUCAAUUCCCGGCGGGCCCGCCA